UACGUAGGGAGCAAGCGUUGUUCGGAAUUACUGGGCGUAAAGGGCGCGUAGGUGGCCUGUUAAGUCGAACGUGAAAUCCCCGGGCUCAACCCGGGAACUGCGUCCGAGACUGGCAGGCUCGAAUCCGGGAGAGGGAUGUGGAAUUCCAGGUGUAGCGGUGAAAUGCGUAGAUAUCUGGAGGAACACCGGUGGCGAAGGCGGCAUCCUGGACCGGUAUUGACGCUGAGGCGCGAAAGCCAGGGGAGCAAACGGG
rnacentral:rRNA from 1 species